AAAUUGAAGAGUUUGAUCAUGGCUCAGAUUGAACGCUGGCGGCAGGCCUAACACAUGCAAGUCGAACGGUAACAGGAAUCAGCUUGCUGAUUCGCUGACGAGUGGCGGACGGGUGAGUAAUGUCUGGGAAACUGCCUGAUGGAGGGGGAUAACUACUGGAAACGGUAGCUAAUACCGCAUAACGUCGCAAGACCAAAGAGGGGGACCUUCGGGCCUCUUGCCAUCGGAUGUGCCCAGAUGGGAUUAGCUAGUAGGUGGGGUAACGGCUCACCUAGGCGACGAUCCCUAGCUGGUCUGAGAGGAUGAC
rnacentral:rRNA from 1 species